rnacentral:rRNA from 1 species
UACGUAGGGUGCGAGCGUUGUCCGGAAUUAUUGGGCGUAAAGAGCUCGUAGGCGGUUUGUCGCGUCUGCUGUGAAAUCCCGAGGCUCAACCUCGGGCUUGCAGUGGGUACGGGCAGACUAGAGUGUGGUAGGGGAGACUGGAAUUCCUGGUGUAGCGGUGAAAUGCGCAGAUAUCAGGAGGAACACCGAUGGCGAAGGCAGGUCUCUGGGCCGAUACUGACGCUGAGGAGCGAAAGCGUGGGGAGCGAACAGG